rnacentral:rRNA from 1 species
UCCGGAUUCACUGGGUUUAAAGGGUGCGUAGGUGGGCAGUUAAGUCAGUGGUGAAAUCUCCGGGCUCAACCCGGAAACUGCCAUUGAUACUAUCUGUCUUGAAUAUCGUGGAGGUAAGCGGAAUAUGUCAUGUAGCGGUGAAAUGCUUAGAUAUGACAUAGAACACCAAUUGCGAAGGCAGCUUACUACCCGAAUAUUGACACUGAGGCACGAAAGCGUGGGGAUCAAACAGG